UAUCCUGGCUCAGGAUGAACGCUGGCGGCGUGCCUAAUACAUGCAAGUCGAGCGAACAGAUGAGAAGCUUGCUUCUCUGAUGUUAGCGGCGGACGGGUGAGUAACACGUGGGUAACCUACCUAUAAGACUGGGAUAACUCCGGGAAACCGGGGCUAAUACCGGAUAAUAUAUUGAACCGCAUGGUUCAAUGUUGAAAGACGGUUUCGGCUGUCACUUAUAGAUGGACCCGCGCCGUAUUAGCUAGUUGGUAAGGUAACGGCUUACCAAGGCAACGAUACGUAGCCGACCUGAGAGGGUGAUCGGCCACACUGGAACUGAGACACGGUCCAGACUCCUACGGGAGGCAGCAGUAGGGAAUCUUCCGCAAUGGGCGAAAGCCUGACGGAGCAACGCCGCGUGAGUGAUGAAGGUCUUAGGAUCGUAAAACUCUGUUGUUAGGGAAGAACAAAUGUGUAAGUAACUGUGCACAUCUUGACGGUACCUAAUCAGAAAGCCACGGCUAACUACGUG
rnacentral:rRNA from 1 species